rnacentral:rRNA from 1 species
GACGAACGCUGGCGGCGUGCUUAACACAUGCAAGUCGAACGAUGAAGAAAAGACUUGCAGCUUCGGCAGAAAUUCAUUUCGGAUUAGUGGCAGACGGGUGAGUAACGCGUGAGCAACCUACCUCUUACAAAGGGAUAGCCUCGGGAAACCGGGAUUAAUACCAUAUAACAUUGCGACGAAGCAUUUCGAUGCAAUCAAAGCUACGGCGGUAAGAGAUGGGCUCGCGUCCCAUUAACCAGAUGGUGAGGUAACGGCUCACCAUAGUAACGAUGGGUAACCGGCCUGAGAGGGUGAACGGUCACACUGGAACUGAGACACGGUCCAGACUCCUACGGGAGGCAGCAGUGGGGAAUAUUGCACAAUGGAGGGAACUCUGAUGCAGCGACGCCGCGUGAGUGAUGAAGGAAUUCGUUUCGUAAAACUCUGUUCUAUGGGAAGAAAAGGACUGUACCAUAGGAGAAAGCUCCGGCUAAAUACGUG